UACGAAGGGGGCUAGCGUUGUUCGGAAUUACUGGGCGUAAAGGGCGCGUAGGCGGUACUUCAAGUCAGGCGUGAAAGCCCCGGGCUCAACCUGGGAACCGCGCUUGAGACUGGAGAACUAGAGUUCGGGAGAGGAUGGUGGAAUUCCCAGUGUAGAGGUGAAAUUCGUAGAUAUUGGGAAGAACACCGGUGGCGAAGGCGGCUAUCUGGCCCGUAAUUGACGCUGAGGCGCGAAAGCGUGGGGAGCAAACAGG
rnacentral:rRNA from 1 species